rnacentral:lncRNA from 1 species
CGCACAGUCCCUGAUCCCUGUGCACGCUGGGAUUGUAGUCCUGCAGCCCUGUGAUCACUGGCUGGUAACAAAAAAUUUCAGCUCACGGAAUGGUAGGCGAAGGCCCUCAACCUCAGCCUCGCUCCUCCAUGCCUUCACAGCAGUUCUGCCAUGCGGAGGGGGAGCCUGCCUGUUCUUUAACCUCACCUACCUGAUGGGAGAGGGCAAGCUACCAGGGCAGCUUGUCUCACCAAGUAAUUGUGAUCCCGUAUCCCCCAACGUGCUGGCUUCUUGACUUCCAAAGUUGCGGCAAGGUAAGAAGAACUACAGAGGAAGAACCUACUGCAGACAUUUCCCAGGAGACUUUAACUGAAGCAUCAGCAAAACUGAAAGAUGGAGUCUCGUUCUGUUGCCCAAGCUGGAGUGCAGUGGCAUGGUCUCGGCUCACAGCAACCUCCACCUCGCAGGUUCAAGUGAUUCUCAUGUCUCAGCCUCCCGGGUUCAAGCAAUUCUCCUGCCUCAGCCUCCCGAGUAGCUGGGAUUACAGGCACGCACCACCACGCCCAGGUAAUUUUGUAUUUUUAGUAGACAUGGGGUUUCUCCAUGUUGGUAAGGCUGAUCUCCAACUCCUGACCUCAGGUGAUCCACCUGCCUCGGCCUCUCAAAGUGCUGAAUUACAGGCUUAAGCUACCAUGCCUGGCCAAAAGCCUAGGUUUCUUUCUAUGUAAAAUGUAAAAAAAAUUUAAACUCAUAGAAGCAGCGUGCAAUAAUGAAAAAAAAAAAAAGAAUUCCCUAUGGGGUUUUUUGUCUGAUUAAGAGAGCUUCUUCAAGAUCUUUCAGGGAUUAUAUUUUCUUCCAUAUUCUGCAUCAUCCUGUUUUUCAGCCAAUGGAUGAAAAAAGAUACAGAGAAAACACAUUUGCUUUUAUCCCCUUCACUUCCACUCAAUAUUAGUCAAUGUGGAUACAGCUGAGAAUAGCAGUUUUCUGGCAGGACAGCCACGUCUCAGUAAUAAACAACACACUGAAAAUAAAGUACCCAUCUGUCAUAAAAAGCUAAUGGAUUUUAAGAAAAAUAAGUAUAUGCAUCAGUAAUUCUUGUGGUAAAGAUUCAUCUUGUUGAUUUCUAUUGAGCUCCCAUAAUAUUUGACCAAAAGCUUGCAAAUAUACAGCA